rnacentral:rRNA from 1 species
CGUUAGCGGCGGACGGGUGAGUAACACGUGGGUAACCUACCUAUAAGACUGGGAUAACUUCGGUAAACCGGAGCUAAUACCGGAUAAUAUUUCGAACCGCAUGGUUCGAUAGUGAAAGAUGGUUUUGCUAUCACUUAUAGAUGGACCCGCGCCGUAUUAGCUAGUUGGUAAGGUAACGGCUUACCAAGGCGACGAUACGUAGCCGACCUGAGAGGGUGAUCGGCCACACUGGAACUGAGACACUGUCCAGACUCCUACGGGAGGCAGCAGGG